CAGAGCUCGCUGCACUGCACCGCCUCAGAGGACUGUCUGAGCGCAUGACUGAGGAGCAGUUCACAAAGGAAACGUCUGAGUUUCAAUCCAGUGCGAGGACAACCACUUUACGAGUGAACAGUGACGUGGACCUGAUGAAGCUGCACGGGACGCUUCAAAGAUGCCAAAACAUCACCGAUUGUGUCAGUGAUAUGCAGCAGGAUUUUGAGGGUUUUCUGGCAGCCAUUGAUAAACGGAAGAUACAGGACUGGCUGAUCACCGCGUCAGAGCUCUCACACGACUACAGUCAAAAAAUUCUGCUGAUGACCGACGACAACAAGUCAACAAAGGAGCGGGUCCUGGAGGAGUACAGCAUGGAUCCUCAGUAUUCCAUCAUAGUAAACAUUGGGUGUCUGAACAACGUCUCCUGCUUGCCACAGGUGGACAGCCACACCAUUGUGAAAGUCUUUGGGAGUGUUUCGGCAGACAGACAGGGUGUCUCUGGAUUCUCUGGCUCAUCUCUGGCAGAUCUAAUACUCAAACCAUCUUUGGAAGCAGCACCGGUUUUCUCUUUGGAUGGAAACACCACAAGGGACUUCCAGCAUAGCUUCAUCCUGGCCUUCAUGCUCCGCAGCCUCCACACAGUCGUUGAAAUGCGGCAGAAGAACUAUCAGACUUACCAGGUGAUGAAUGAACCAGGUUCUGUUUCUAGCUACCAAGCUCCCCGGAGAGCAGCAGGUCCCAGCACACAGUAUGAUCACCAGCAGAUCCUUGUGUUGCAAAAAGACCAAGCGGUCAAAGAUGCUGCUUUUGCUCUGUAUAAGAAACAUCCAGAAGCCAGUUCUGUCUACAUCCUCGAUCAGAACCAGAGACCAAUGCUGAUCUCCGAAAAAGCAACUCCUCUGUCACAGAACAGCAGGCUUGUGCUGGUUGGCCAUGGGUGGAGGGAUGGCUCUGGAGAGACAAAGCUUUCAGGGUUUACAUACCAAGACAUAGCACAAAUCGUCCAAAAAACCUCCAGGGAAGGUGGCAAGAUCAAAACAAUCAGUGUGGUGGGAUGUGAAGUGGGAUCAGACACAGGGUUCAUUAAAAACCUGAUGAAGGAGUUACACAAAACUGGGAUAGAGACAGAGCUUCACAUGAGGGAUGCCAUGCUUCAAGUCCUACACACUGGAGAGAAAAUCACCCAAAAAGUGUCUUCUGAUGGAGUGCAAUGGAUGCAUAAAGAUGAAAGCAAGAAAGUGGUGGCAGCCUUUGAUAAGAAUGGCAAAAUAAUAAUCAGGAGGGAGAGUGGCAGUGAAGGAAAAGCAAUCUUUACCAAUGAGAGAGACGUCCUCGGUGCAAAGAAAAUUAAUCCAAACAAAAAGCCAACUGACCAAGGGAAGAAGACCCCAAACAAAAACCAGCCUGACCAAGGGAAGAACAUCUUGCCAACGGAGCCAAGGGUAUUUGUUAGUCUAAAGGAGGACCAAGUUUGGGACCAAUACAAACUAAACCAGAUGAAACCCGCCUUCAAGGAGAUUGAAAGUAUUACAUGGGCAGUGUUUCACCCUGAUCUACCAGAACCAAAGACAGUCAAUGUCAACAAUGAACUAUCAAACAAACUAAAGGAUAAAUAUCUAAUUUCUGAUAAAAGCCAGAAUGAUGUGAAGUGGAUUGACACUGACCAAAGACUUAAAGAUGUCCUUAAUAAUUGCUAUGAGCUUAAAAAUGGCGAAGACUUCCGAAAUGUUAUUCAACACUUUGCAAAAAAAAAACAAGGAGAUAAAUACCUCAUGAUCAACGACUGGAUCUACAAAAUCCAGUCUGAAAACCUUUAUGUGUAUCCAGUUGGAAAAAAGAUCAAUAAUAAUAAUGAAAAGGAAGAAGUUAAGAAAUAUAUCAACAAUGAUGUAAAGAAUAACAGAGAGACCUAUCAUGCCAUGAAAACACUCAUAAAAAAUAAAAAAGAAUAUGUAACCUUUGUUAGACAGACUUUUCAAGGAAAGACAAUGACGUUACACCCAAAUACUGUGGCUUCGUACACCAAGUACUUCACCGCAUCAGUCAUAGCUGAAUCCAUCCGGAACUUCAGAACAUUUAUUCUUACACUAUUGGCCCUGGACAAUGUUAACAUACAUUUUUUUUUCAAUGACAAUCCAAUGGCGAGAGGAGGAAGCUGGAUUAACCCAGACAAACGAGGUUUUGAAGGUGUAACUGCCCCUAAAGAUCCUGGUAAAACAAGUAGUUACAAAGAAGUGGUUGAACUUGAAUUUAAAAUGUUCUCGAGCUGGAAAGAAAGAAGUGAAACUAAUAUACUAGAUCGAAUGGUAGAUAUCACAACAGAGUUUAAAUUACCUCCAGCUGAUUUAAAAAACUUCAAGAAUGAUUACAUUAAAUGCAAAGAAGUGAUUGAAACGCCUCAUCUUCAAGCAUCUGGAACACUGGGAGGCUUCGAGGAUGGAGAUAUCACACUAUGGGACUUGGACUCUGCUAGGGAUUUGGAAAACUCCUUCAAGCAUGAAUCCUAUUUUUCCAGAGCAUCUCAAUCUUUUGCCGAGGAGGUCCACGUUAAGCUUAAGGCCAAAUACGGUAAUAGGCUGUCAGGACUUACCGUUAAGGAGGGGACACCCAGAAUUGAAAACGGACAGUUCGUAUGUGAGCUUUUGUCCAAGUAUGCAAAAACUGAGCCUGUAGAGUUCCGGACCAAGUUAUCCUCCAAAAGCCAAAAACACAUGGAAAGACUGCAGUUAGACCUUGACGUAGCAGUUCGUGACAUGGAGUCAUUUGCUUUAAAACCUGAAAAAACCAACAAGCACAUGGAGCGCGGAGGAAACACUCUGGCAGUGCUCGGGCUCAUGACUGGGUUGAGGGGGAUGGUUCAGGCCUUUGAACAUGGAAACAUCAAAGACAGCGUCAUGGGAACUUUGCAAAAUGCUCACGGAGUGGCGGCCAUAACCACGUCUGUACUUGCCAAACGUGUUCUCUCUGUGGAAGCAAAAGCAGCCAAAGCUGCAACAUCCGUUAUAAAGGGCCCAAUGAAACGUGUGGUUAAAGGCCUCACAAAAGCAAUACCUAUCAUAGGAAUUGGAUUUGGGAUUUACAGCAUUGUAGAAGAUAUUAGGAAAAAUACCACGCUUGGAUACAUAGAUGCUGCCUUUGACAGUGCACUGCUGGUUUUAGAUGUUCUUGAACUUGUGCCUGUUCUGACGCCUUUUGUCGCCCCAAUAAACUUUGCUCUAUCAGUCAUACGAAUGGUCUUUGAUGACAUCUAUAUGGCCAUCGAGAAUGAACUAAACGUCCUCCCGGCAGAUGCUGGAGUCCUGCAGAAAAUCAAGGCUGUGUUUGUUGGCCUUGGGAAGGGAAUUUUAAACUUUCUGAUCGGAGUGGCAAGUUUCUUUUACGACUGGCGUCAAGCAGAGAUUGAAGAGGGACGGAGACUUGUGGCACAGAUCUCAGACCAGAGCAAAUAUUACAAAAUUUCAAAAGAUGCAGAUGGAAAAACUGGCAUAGAUUUUACCAGUGGUUCUGCCUCUUGGAAUGGAGGAGGUAUUGACUUCUGCCUCGCAGACCAGGGUCUGUCUCGACUCUGCAUGGACUAUUUUGUUUCUAGUGAUGAGAGUUUAGGGAAGCGGUGCUGGGACAUUGACGCACAGGGUAGCACAGACAUCACUCUUGGCCUCGGUGAGUCACAUGGAUUAAAGUACACGACAUAUAAGAAGAAGAUACUUCUGUUCAUACCAGCUGGCUCCAUCACUGUGGUCUCUGGUUAUGAAGCUAUACAUAAUUCCCGGUUUGGAAAAUACAGAGGAAAUCGUGAGUCUAAUCGCUUUUUUGCAGUUCAAACAUCAGAGGACAAAAACUUUUAUGAACUCAUGUUGAGUUACUACUACAGGCUUUACGGAGAAUCUGGUGAUGACAUGUUUUUCCUUGGUCCACAGAGGAGCUACGUUGAAGGCUCAGGAGGAAGCGACACUUACAUCAUUCCUGAAAAUGGAGGGAACACAUACAUUAACAACUAUGAUGCCUCCAAAGCACAAGACACUCUUCAUUUCAGCGUGAACUACAGUCAGAUUUCUGUUUCUAAAUCUGGAGACCACGUUGUGUUAACUUACAGAGGCAGCCACACGGUGAUGAUUGGGAACUGGUUUUUAGGUGAAGCUUAUCGUCACAUGACCAUUAUCUCUGCAGAUGGUGUGCUGUUUGAGAUUUCCUCCACUGUGUUCUCCUCAGUUCAGCUGGAGGCCAUCGGCAUUAAUAUGAUGUUUAAGGACAAAGGAGGAACUGUGGACACAGCGCAGCCGCUGUUACAGACAGUUAUAAAUAUCAUGGGGUCACGGUUUGGGGAUGUGCUCAUAGGAAACAAAGAAAACAAUCUGAUCAAUGGAGGGGGAGGGUCGGAUCGACUGAAAGGCGGUGAAGGUGAAGAUGUGUACGUGAUGGAAGGUAAAACAGAGACAACAGUGAUGAUUGAAAACUACUCAAAAGAUCAAAAAACAGACCUGGUCAUAAUAGAAGCUAAGUUUCAAACAUUUACUGCAGAGGCGUAUGGAAACAAUCUUAUUUUGAGAGCUUCCCACUCUAAUACCUUCUAUGUGACGUUAGUGAACUGGUUCAGGUCUUCAGCAGACCGACAUCUGCUGGUGGUCACAAAGGAUUUCAUCACUUUCUCAAUGUCAGAAGUCAAAGCAGAAUGCCUGCAGAGGAACAGAGGGGGAACAUGCAUCAAACCCUUCCGCGUGGACUACAGCCGCUCAACAUCUCGUCUGAUCGUUGACCUUCAGGAGGACAAGACUUUAAACAAUGUGACAGAGGUCACCGGGUCACCUCUCAGUGAUGUCAUCAAAGGGAACCAAGAGCCCAACAUUCUAAUCCCAGGAACAGGAGAUGACUACAUGGAGGGCCGAGGAGGGGAGGACUGGUACGUGAUUACACCAGGCCAGGGAUUGAAAACCAUCAACAACCUGUCUCCAGAUGUGGAUGUGGACACGCUCUUUCUGAAAGACCAGUACGAUCAAGUAUCUUGUGCCUGUGAAGGACCAAACAUCAUCAUGCGGGUGCGUGGCAGACGAGUGAUUCUUGUAAAAGAUUGGUUUGUUUCAAAGCAUUACCAGCAUCUGCAGAUUAAGACAAGUGAUGGGAUCACUGCCAGCCUGAACGCCAACAUCAGCAGCUGUGGUAGGAAGCUGUUACUCCCUGUGACUGUGGACUACAGAAACCAGCACCCUGAACCACUUAGGUUAACUGAAGCACAUCGUCAGAAAAGGUCUUUUGAAGGAAAUUUUUUGUGUUACACAUACAGAAACGCUCAAUCAGAGGAGGCGAUUGUCUGCUCGCAGCACGGUAAAGUGAUGUUACUGAAGCAUGAAGAGUCAGUGAGAGAGAUGUAUGGAUCCUCUGGGUUUGACAUAAUGGUGGGAAACAGCCACAACAACCAGCUGGACCCAUACACUGGCGGAGCGUUGAUGUCGGGGGGUGAAGGAAAGGACACUUACAUAAUCAAACAGGGAUACGGACCUACACUUAUCAUUGAUAACUUUGCAGAAGACGGGGCAGUUGACACUCUGUUACUCGACAUGGAUUUCCUCGAUGGUGCUCAGAUCAAACUGCACCAUGACAGGAAAAAUCUAGAGAUGACAAUCAAGUCCAAGGCGGAAACGUUGGUCCUCAAUCUGUUCCGCUACAAAUGGGGUCAUCAUUAUCGGCACCUGGAGUUUAAAAGCUCCGAUGGCGUACACUUUAAGAUCAAUGAAGUGAACUCCACAGAAGAAACGUCAGUUUUUCAGGUCGAAGCCUUCAAAGUGGUUCUAAAACCGUCCCACAUAGACUGUCGACUGGACCUCAGUUCUAUGACCAAUCUGUCAAGGGUUGUCACAGCACAGGGGUGUUCAACCGAGUCCAACUACAUCCUCGGUAACAACCAGGAUAACGUUCUGAGUGGUGGAUGGAAAAACGAUGUGUUGGAUGGAGACCUUGGGGAUGAUACGCUGAUUGGAGGACUCGGAGCAGACAUCUUGAUCGGUGGUAUGGGAGAUGACACCCUUUAUGGGGAGGAAGGUGACGACACACUGAUGGGGAACUCUGGCCAGGACAUCUUUGUUCCUGGACCAGGGGCAGACAUCAUGGAUGGAGGCCCAGGCAGGGACACGGUGUUGUACCGUGGAGACCAUAAGAAGGGUGAAGGGGUCUACAUUGACCUGCUUACUGGGCAAGGCCGCCAGGCUGAUGCUGAGGGCGACGUGUUGAAGGACGUGGAAACUGUGAUCGGCACCAUCUACGCGGACAUCUUGGUAUCUGGUAAUGAGGCCUCUCUUCUUAAAGGUUCAGAUGGUAAUGACAUUUUGGUGUCCACUGGAGAAGAUUACCUUGUUGGAGGUGAAGGGAAGGACAUUUACUUGUUGGCUUUUAAUAGCGGCACCGUCACCAUCGAUAACUGUGCAGAGGACAACGAGACUGACGUUCUGUAUCUAAGAUCAGAGUCCACACCCAUAUUUGACUGCCAGCUCUUCCCCGACGGAGUAGUUCUAACUUUCUAUGGACCUGAGAAAAAGACCAAAGUGGUACUCAAAGAUUGGAGCAGUGACAACGGUCAGUGCGGUCAUUUGCUGUUGGUGUUUGGAGAGGUGGAGGCGUCUGUGGAAAGGAUGCUCCAGGACUGUCAAUUAAAACUGGAGGAAUAUUGGAGUUCAUUCCUGAAAGUCUUCUGCAUCUGCAUUGCUCUCGUCCUCUUUCACAGUGUUGUUGUUUUACUGGUGAUGCAAAAAAUCAAGAAGAAACGGAAACAAAGAAAGGCACAGAAAGAAUUAGCAAGCAGCUUUCAAGAAUCGAUUGUCAUGUCUAACAUUUCAUCUGUUGAGAUGUAGAGCCUGUGGGAUAAUGGCAACAUCGCAAGCUCGUUUUUUUCAAAUGUGUUGAGACUGAAAAAGUUGCAUAAAAAAUACCAGAUUAACUUCAGUGAGAACGCCGCAUGAUUAACAUUGAAUAAGGACUAGCUACUCGAGCCACUGAGUACGCCCCUUGCUCCACUAUGUCAGUAGAAAUUUUUGUACAAUUACCAAUGUGUAUCUCACCUGGUUAAUCCUUUGCUGCUGUUAUUGCAUCAAAUGUACUGAAAGCAUGAAGAAUUUGAUGCUUUUCUGAUCAUUUUUUUAAGUUCAUGUGCUGCUUCUGUGUCUCACAAGCAUUUCACUGAAGUCCCUAUGUCACCAUUUCUCAUGCUGAAUGAACUAUACACGCAUUUGAUCAUUUCCAUUUUAACGUUACAUUUAAAAGUUAUAUGUGGCGUGCUGGCAGCAGACACGUGGACAAUGAUCAGAGAUAGAUUGUGACGCAGUGUUAAAACCCUAACCACGUUUGUGUUUGUAUUCAUCAUUUCAGACGUUGCGCUGACUAAACUUCAAAAAAGCAACAAAUCUCGGACUGUUUAUGCUCUCUUGAAGCAACUGACAGGAAGCAUCCGUCCAGCCACGCCCUGUUACCGUCACUCAACUGAGAUGCCGCCUCCCUUUUUGUCAUUCCCCUGUCGACCGCGCCCUCAAAUCAGACAUGACUCGCUGGAUUAAGAGCGUUUGUCUCCCUUUGGGCUCAAGUUUUAAUGAAAAAUUAGACCAGAGCCUGACAGAAUAUGACCCCAUCUCGAAUGAAGCCGAUCUCUCUUUAAGUCUGAACCCGUUACAGUCCGACACCAUUCUAAUCCGUGUGUUCACAUAAAGAAUGAUCCGAGAUGAGAUUCUUAACUCAUUGACUGCCAAAAAGGUCUAAAGACGUUUUUUUGGUUUAGUAACUUUGACUGUCAAAAACGUCCAUAGACUUUAAUUGUUUUUUUCGGCUGGGGUUGCUCGGAGAUAGUGUGACGAAGCUCUCCUAUGAAUAUAUGACUUUUAUCAUGAUGUAGUGACCAACUGGUGCCAUGUAGGUGGCAGCAGCGGACGGAAAGGCGUUUGUAAGACAGAAAAUGGCGCUACGAGAGUUGAUGCUGAAGCUCCCAGCAGCGCACAGCAGCUCACAAUUCAAUUCAGUUCAAUUCAGCUUUAUUUGUAUAGCGCAGUUUACAGCAAAGUCAUCUCAAUGUACUUAUCAAAAUAUAAAAUUUAUAAUAAGAACGUGAAAACCCAACAAGAUCCACAUGAACAAGCAUUUAGUGACAGUGGGAAGAAACAACUCCCUUUUAACAGGAAGAAAUCUCCAGCAGAACCAGGUUCAGAGGUGGCAGCCAUCUGCGUUGACUGGUUGGGGUUAGUGGACUAAAGGAACAACAGAACAGGAUAGAGAGAUAGAACAUCAGAGUUUCCCAGACUAGUUGAGCCGCGAACCACAGAUCAGGAACUGCCAUCAUCUGCUUCACGACACCUGAAACAGAGCAGAGAGAGAAGGACGAGGAGAAGACACUGACUGCAGAAAAGCAUGAUACAUUAUUAUCAAGUCAGCCUGCCUUGGCCUUGGGCCUCACUCCCAGUGGCCUAGUCAACACUUAUUCUUAUUAUAAAGGUGACAAAUCUCUUCCCAUUUAUUGGUAAACUAACAGUGACUCCAAGGUCGGUAAAUGCGACCGUUCACUGACGAGCCCAUGUCCGCUCUAGUGGUUAGGUUAUGUUAUGGUUCAGUCCUGUUUAUGCGUACUGUAAAUCAUAACCAGCUACAUGAGAAUUUUAAUCUCUUCCCAUUUAUUAAACCAGUAAAUGCGACCGUUUACAGACAAGCCCAUGUCCGCUCUAGCAAUCAGAUUAUGUUAUGAUUCAGUACUGUUUACACAGCAGCGCACACUCAACCAGAGCAUGUUAAAUCGGGGCUUUCGCCUUUAAUUGGCCAUGUAAUGUUUUUACAUUAAUGGAAUUUGUCCUCUGCAUUUAACCCAUCCCUGAGGAGCAGUGGGCAGCCAUUUUGCGGUGCCUGGGGAGCAGUCCGGGGUUAAGGGACUUGCUCAACAUCCCACAGAUGGCCCAGGUGAGGCUUGAACCGGCAACCCUCCGAUUACAAGCGUCCUUAACCACUAGGCCACCACUCCCCUAGAACUAAGUAAACUUUUGAGUGUCGUGAUGGUGAGGGAAAACAAUCAAAAGACAGGAUAAGCAGUGAGACUUGGCAUGUCCGCGAUGAGGAGGAAGUUGCGUGUGUGCAGACUGAUGGGGGGAGAGACUUGGAGCAAUGCCAAAGUACAGUAAGAAAUCCAUUCAAUUCUGCCCUAGAUAGCAAAAUAAUAAUAAUUUUGCCAUCAAAAGCCUGGUCUCAGUGUUGUUUUUGUAGUUUUAUAGUAGGAAUCCAAUGUUGCGGUGUCUCUAAAGCAAAAAAAAUGCUUCAAAGUCACUAGUAAUAGGUUUUUUCAGAAAAAGACGUUUUUCUCAGCUUUUUGUCACAAACUGGCGAUUUGUGUGAAACUUGCCUCUAUUCAGCUGCGGAUUACAGAAGAACGAAACAAGCUAGAAACAAAAUUAUUUUUUCUGAUGAAACUAGAGAGUCUAAUUUCAGAUUGUCAUCGUACAAAAUAUUCUGUGGGUCUUAAAAAAUCAGUGAAAAUCAUCUAAAACGCCUGGCAAUAUGGGUUUGGCUGCUCUGAAAAGGGCUGGCAGUGAAUGAGUUAAAUAACUCAGCUUUAUUUACUGGUCACUCGUUUUACAUCCAACUAUAAACAUGACAAGCAGCUUCUGCUGUAACACACACUUUAUUGGGGUUGGGAUCAAUUGUAAUUGUGUAACUCAUAAUUAAUUACAAAUAUGACAUAAUUAUAAUUGAAAUUGUAUUUGAAAAAACAAUUACUGUUGUGAUCGUAAUUGACUUGUAAUUGAGUUCAGAUAAUUGACUUUGUAAUUGUAAUUGACAUGGAAAUUAUAUAAAAAAUUUUCAAUAACAAAUUUGCAAACCUUUGGAACCAUGUUCUAAAGUUUACACAUACCUAUUUAACACUAUAAUUAUACAUUUGUAACAUCGUUCAUUCAUGUGAUAGAGGACCGCCUUCAUUCACCUCCAUUUUUGCGUUUCUCUCGCACUAAUCCAAACAUCACCUGACCGUUCAUUUACAAAGAUUUACAGCUCUACUCUGAGCAUCUCUGCUGAGAAUUUUCACAGAUUUUACAGACCAAAGAACAAAUGCUACUGGCCCUGGGAGCUCAAAUUAGGAUGUUUCAUUAAUCAAUGACAAACCACUCAUUGUGUGGAUAUUUACAGGAUUGGAUUGGAAUAAGAUGGCGUAAAAUAUGUAGAAAAAUGGUGACAUUGGGACUUAAUAAGUAAUCAUAAUAAAUUAUUAUAAUCUAAGAAUAAGGGAC
rnacentral:lncRNA from 1 species